rnacentral:tRNA from 1 species
GAGGCUGUAACUCAGUGGCAGAGCGCUUGCCUAGCAGCUUGCCUAGCAUGUAUGAGGCACUGGGUUCAAUCCUCAGCACCACA